GCAGCCGUGUGACGUCUCCAUAUUGAACUAUGCACCGAAAUUAUAACUAGUGUCUUUAAUCGAAGACGGUUCUAAAAUUCACGUUGACAUACAUUUUUACUUAAUUAGAGUUUUUAAAAGUGUAGAGAGCAGUCGGGAAGAGGCAUCACUGCGCCUUCUGUGACCGCGGUUUUCAAAACAACCUGCAUAACAGAAAGAAACACAUCACCGGGCAAAAAAAGCCUGCUUUGACAUCUUCAGAGGUAAUAAGAGAAAACUUCACAGAGCAGCAGGAGUCUAUUAAACAAUUCAUUUGAGAGAGAGAAAAAAAAAUCAGACGCUGCCACAAUUUUAAAUGAAGAGCGGACAAGGAGCCAUGCAGAAAGUUUCUCCAGACAGAAACUUUCACAGUUUGUUAGACGGGGCAGAUUGUGGCUAUUUCCUGUCAGUCAGAUGAAAAGCUGCAGAAGGAAGACCCUGACCAAGAUGGAUCAUCUAAUGAGCGCUGCAUUGAUGAAUGGCUCUCCAGAGGAGAGAAGAAACUGGCUGCUUUGACAUCAGGAAGAGUUUUAAAGACUGAAGAGGAAGAAUGUGCUGAAAACAUUGAGCUACCUCCAUAUUUGCUGUCUAUUCCAUAUCUUCCUCCAAAUAUUCAUCCCCCAACAACUGGUGGUUGGAGAGUGACACAAUGAAUGGGGUUGAAAUGUAAUUUAUAAAAGUUUUUUUAAAGACCAUGCUACUAUUAUCACUACUAAGCCUUUUUAAGCCUCUCAGGCUUUCCAAGAUGUAGAUCAUUUCUUCCUUGUAAUGUAACUUCUCCAAAUGUAUUCCAUCACUUUCUUACCAUUAGAUCCUCUGCAGUGAAUAAGUGCAAUACAUUGAUUAGCGAGUAAUGCAAAAUUUCUCCAAAUAUGACCAGAUGAAGAAAAAAACUCAUCUACAUCUUGAAAGGCUUGAGGGUGAGUAAAUUUUCUGAUAAUUUUCCUUUUUGGAUUAAACUAUUUCUAAAAGGGAGAACAAUACGCACAUUGUAUCAGACUGUAAAGCAUUACAAGUUGAGAUGCAUGGUGAAAAAAUGCAAUGAACUUGUAUAGCUUGAAGACCCAUUCCACCAAAGCAUUUACUUUAUAUGCAUUGUUGUGUGGAAAUUUAGCCAGACCAGCAUCCUUUUUUGAAAUGCUGCUUACUGUAGUAAUAUGUGUAUUUGUAAACUAACAAAAUUACAAGGAGAAAGACCAAAGAAGAAGCACCACUGUUUUAUUUCAUUUGUUCACAUGGUACAAUUAAUUGUAACACCAGCACAUGUUGGCACAUCAUAGAUUCAAGGUCGUUCUCUAGGGCUACAUUGAUGCAAUAUAAAGUUACAUACAUCAGUUGCUUAUAUUAGUGUUACAUCACUACAUUAAUAUGAUUAAGUGAGCUAAUUUGUAACUGCCAACGUGUAUCAGCCGUUUGAAUGUAAUAGAUGUAAUUUAAGUAAAUGUGCUGUAAUAUUUCCAUGUGUUAUUAGAUGAAUUUAUAUAAAGAAAUAUUGGAAAAAUACAAAAAUAAAACAAAUUUUCAUAUAAUCCUAGGAGUUUUAUCCAUUUAUUACUCUGAAUGAAAAAAACAUAUUGCCAUGUUAAACAAUAAUACCCCUAUUAGUGUGUAAAAACAAUUUGCACAGCAGAUCACAUGCUUGAGCUUUGGAAAUCGAGAGCAUGAUAUGUUUCUGAUGUCCUGAAAUCAGUAUAUCUCAAUUUGUAUAGAUAUAGGUAUAGAUAUAUAAACCGUAACUUUAAUUCACAGUAAAUUGUCAUUAAAUAAGCAUAGAUUGCAUAUUUUAACAAGAGGCUGACCUUGACAAUACACAAUACAACAUGUCAGAAAAUUACAAAUGCACGCAACUGCAAAAAAAACGUCAUCAUGUCAGCAUUUACCUUCAUGAUCAGAAGUCAGAAUGUUGGACUUUACUGACUACAAGUAACAGACAUACCUUCCAUGAUAACAAUGAAAAAAAGUCUGAUCUUGUAAAUUGAUAUGUUUCACUCUACAGCUUCAUAAAACCAAUGCAACACUAUCAUUACAGUCAUAUGCAGCAGCUGCAGAUCCAUUUAAUUACUUAGUCAUAACAGACUUAACGUACAUUAUUGUUUUUCCAAAUUAAGUCAGAGAAAUGUUAAUGAACACCUAUUUGUAUCAGUUAAGUGUCACACAGAACAACAACACCCAAUUUACUGUUUAGGCACUGAGAUUGCUGACAAAUGCAUAAAUUACAGCUAGAUGCUGGAUGCAUACAUUUAUUUCAGAGUGUGCAUAAGCCAAAUAUUGCUUGUUACGAUUAGCUUCAAAAUAAUACUUCUGAAUAACAUGCACUGGUUCAUUCCCUUUGAGUCAUGCUAUGAAUACAUAAACUUUGUGUGUAAACUGUGUGUAAUUUUGUGUAUAUGUGCAACUUUAGAGCCUCCUGCAGUUACGUGAGUGGAAUUCACUGUCCUAAUCAAACUUGAAAGCUGUACACAUGCCAUUUGUAAAGCAAUCCGCCGUUUUCACAGAAAUUCGUACCUGCUCAGUAGAACAGACCUUGGAGAGAAGAGUUUAAAAGAAAUGAUUCUAAAACCCAUAUUUCAAGGUAAAAAGAAAAGUUGCAUACAGUUGGUUUAAAAGCAAUGAAAAUUUUCUACUUAAGCUGUAGUUUUCUAGUGGACAAGGAUCAUGUGGACACAAACUUGGUUAAAAGUAAACGAUGAGAGACAGUUAUAAUGUCAUGACUUGAAAACUAAGAAUUUACCAUUAUACAGAUCACAAUACCCCAGAACAAAUGAAAUCCACAAGUUGUUAAAGAAAAUAAUGAUAAUAUUGAUACAGACUGAUUAUUCACUGACAACACUGAUGUUAUUGAAAUGCUAGGAAACAUUUCAUGCAAAUAUGUAAUCAUAUGUAAUAACACUCAAAACAAUUAUAUUGCAGGAUAUCGACAAAAACAUUUAGCCUCACAUGGCACACUAUACGUAUAGCCUGUAAUAUUCAGGCAUUUUCCACAAUACUUUUUCCUCACACAACCAGCAGAUAAUUUAAUAAAAGACCUGACAACAAACAAUCCUGAGAGUCAAGACUGGAAGAAAUAAUGUUUUUGCAAGUUAACAAAAGACAAUUGCACAGGUUAGAGUCAAUAACACUUUGGAUUGUCACCAAAUUUAUACUCUAGUUCAAUCAAGUUUAUUUCUGGUACAUUUCUAGUACAUUCAUUUUCUUUUUGAAUUGCUCUAAGUCUAACUACUCAUGAUGACUUACACUUGGUGUUGAAAAUUUGGUUUAUUCCCUUUUUUCAUUCUGUAUCCACGAAUAUCCCCAAAGGUUAAACCGGUGAUGUUUGAGACAAUCUUGGUGAAAUAAAUCUUGGAUCUACUGGACCUAAAACUGUGUAACAUACAUGACCCAGUCACACAACGUUGUUACAAAAUGGGUAAAUUGUUUUGUCAUUGUGU